rnacentral:lncRNA from 1 species
CUGGCCUUGCCCCAAAUUGCUGAGUGAUCUUGGACAAGUGGCUGACCCUCUCUGGACCCACAUCCACCAGAGACGACCAGGCCCCACCAGCAGCCCUUCCUCCCCCCCCACCCCCCACCCCCGUCUGGCGGUAUCGUUCCCACCCCACUCCACUCAGCUUCCUCUAGGCAGCUGUGAGCACAGCCUCCUCUUCCGAAAAUCCAACUUCCCUCCAGGAGAAAAGCCAGAUUCCACAGGGCCUCCCUGGGGGAGAAUAUGCUCUUCCGCUCUCUGCCUCUACUCCCCUAAACACCCAGGCAUCCUGCGUGGGACCAACUUCACUGUCGUUAUUUCUGGAAGGGGUAGACUUCCCGGCUAUUCUCCAUCCCUUGGAUGUGAAGAGUAGGUAGGUGUCCACCGUCACACCACUCUGCUUCGUUCAGUCCACACGGGCUUCCCCUUGCCUGGCUGGACAAAGAUCACAACCAAAACCACAGACAUGACAACCCUUACCUCCCGCCCCUGAAGCCCAGCUGUACUCAACAUCCACCUGCCAGUGGCCCCCCACAGACCCGGCAGCUCCUGGGCCUGGGCCAGGGCCUGCCGCCUCCAUGUCAUUGGUGAACACACUGAGCUCAGAGAGGGUAAGGGACUUACCCGAUGCUGCACAGCUGGUAGGUGGCAAUACACACACACACACACACACACACGCAAGCUCGUCACCAGGCCUCCGACCUACCAUUAUCAAUCCAUUCUUUGGCAUCUGGAAGAUUUCUCUCUGAAGAUGCAGAUUUCCCUGGAAAAGGCAUGAUGGCUGAUACUCUAAGGCAAAGAACUCCCUGAGCUCUCUAAUAGUCAAAUCCCCUUUACAACAACCUGACUCUGGGCUAGAGGGCCUGUACCUGCUUCCUCCAGGACUAGAGAGCUUACCUGCCUCUCCCAUCCCCUGUGAAGGGCACAGCAGUGUGGUGGCCUAGAAAAGGCUAAGCCCUACCAUCCGGGAGGCCAGGGGACAGAUCCCGGCCCCGCCACGUAGCUGUCCUGGGCUUGGAGAUGGGCCACUCUGCUUCU